AUGCAAGUCGAGCGGUAACAGAAAGUAGCUUGCUACUUUGCUGACGAGCGGCGGACGGGUGAGUAAUGCUUGGGAACAUGCCUUGAGGUGGGGGACAACAGUUGGAAACGACUGCUAAUACCGCAUAAUGUCUACGGACCAAAGGGGGCUUCGGCUCUCGCCUUUAGAUUGGCCCAAGUGGGAUUAGCUAGUUGGUGAGGUAAUGGCUCACCAAGGCAACGAUCCCUAGCUGGUUUGAGAGGAUGAUCAGCCACACUGGAACUGAGACACGGUCCAGACUCCUACGGGAGGCAGCAGUGGGGAAUAUUGCACAAUGGGCGAAAGCCUGAUGCAGCCAUGCCGCGUGUGUGAAGAAGGCCUUCGGGUUGUAAAGCACUUUCAGUCAGGAGGAAAGGGUGUGAGUUAAUACCUCACAUCUGUGACGUUACUGACAGAAGAAGCACCGGCUAACUCCGUGCCAGCAGCCGCGGUAAUACGGAGGGUGCGAGCGUUAAUCGGAAUUACUGGGCGUAAAGCGUACGCAGGCGGUUUGUUAAGCGAGAUGUGAAAGCCCCGGGCUCAACCUGGGAACUGCAUUUCGAACUGGCAAACUAGAGUGUGAUAGAGGGUGGUAGAAUUUCAGGUGUAGCGGUGAAAUGCGUAGAGAUCUGAAGGAAUACCGAUGGCGAAGGCAGCCACCUGGGUCAACACUGACGCUCAUGUACGAAAGCGUGGGGAGCAAACGGGAUUAGAUACCCCGGUAGUCCACGCCGUAAACGAUGUAUACUAGAAGCUCGGAACCUCGGUUCUGUUUUCAAAGCUAACGCAUUAAGUAGACC
rnacentral:rRNA from 1 species